rnacentral:rRNA from 1 species
UACAGAGGUCCCAAGCGUUGUUCGGAUUCACUGGGCGUAAAGGGUGCGUAGGCGGUCGGGUAAGUCUGAUGUGAAAUCUCACAGCUUAACUGUGAAACUGCAUUGGAUACUAUCCGGCUAGAGGAAUGGAGGGGAGACUGGAAUACUUGGUGUAGCAGUGAAAUGCGUAGAUAUCAAGUGGAACACCAGUGGCGAAGGCGACACGCUGGGCCAUACCUGACGCUAAAGCGCGACAGCAUGGGGAGCAAACGGG